rnacentral:rRNA from 1 species
AUUGAACGCUGGCGGCAUGCCUUACACAUGCAAGUCGAACGGCAGCACGGGAGCAAUCCUGGUGGCGAGUGGCGAACGGGUGAGUAAUGUAUCGGAACGUACCUUUCAGUGGGGGAUAACGUAGCGAAAGUUACGCUAAUACCGCAUAUUCUGUGAGCAGGAAAGCAGGGGAUCGCAAGACCUUGCGCUGAUUGAGCGGCCGAUAUCAGAUUAGCUAGUUGGUGAGGUAAAGGCUCACCAAGGCGACGAUCUGUAGCGGGUCUGAGAGGAUGAUCCGCCACACUGGAACUGAGACACGGUCCAGACUCCUACGGGAGGCAGCAGUGGGGAAUUUUGGACAAUGGGCGCAAGCCUGAUCCAGCCAUGCCGCGUGAGUGAAGAAGGCCUGG